CCAAUAGCGUAUAUUAAAGUUGUUGCAGUUAAAAAGCUCGUAGUUGAAUUUCGGGGUUAGUAGGUUGGUCAUGCCUCUGGUAUGUACUGGUCUCACUGAUUCCUCCUUCCUGAUGAGCCGUAAUGCCAUUAAUUUGGUGUUGCGGGGAAUUUGGACUGUUACUUUGAACAAAUUAGAGUGUUUAAAGCAAGCUUAACGCUUGAAUACAUUAGCAUGGAAUAAUGAAAUAGGACGUUCGAUCCUAUUUUGUUGGUUUCUAGGAUUGACGUAAUGAUUAAUAGGGAUAGUUGGGGGCAUUAGUAUUCAAUUGUCAGAGGUGAAAUUCUUGGAUUUAUUGAAGACUAACUACUGCGAAAGCAUUUGCCAAGGAUGUUUUCAUUAAUCAAGAACGAAAGUUAGGGGAUCGAAGACGAUCAGAUACCGUCGUAGUCUUAACCAUAAACUAUGCCGACUAGGGAUCGGAUGAUGUUAAUUUUUUAAUGACUCAUUCGGCGCCUUACG
rnacentral:rRNA from 1 species